UAGUAAAAGACAGGACUGCUCCUGACAUUUUGCUGGGAAGCAAAGAAACCAGAAGACAUGCCUCCGUGCCAGGAAGGAGAAAGUAAACCACAGCUGGAAACCUAAGCGGAGGAAGAAUGGUCUUCCAAUUAAGAGGAACUGUGUUUGAAGAGCUAUUAUUAAAGAACCACCCCUGAGAAGCUUUAUUUUCCCCUGGACCCAAUUUAGAGAAUGACAUACUGGACUUCUGGCUGAUGCUGUAAUGGGGUAAGACUUUGGGGGACCUUAGGAGGCAGGUGAGUGAACUUUGCAUG
rnacentral:lncRNA from 1 species